rnacentral:lncRNA from 1 species
UUUCUUAAAUUCUUUGAUUUCCAUAGGUAAACAAAUAUUCUAUUUUCCUACACACUCCUUAUAAAAAUAGAGUAAUUCUUUUCUCAACCUCAAUUACUGGAAUAUCUUUAUAGUAAUAUCAAAAAUUGUAUUUGUGUCGUAUGAACAAUGGCCAACCAGCCAUAGCUCAGCUAGUUGGCAUUUCUCUCCACUUUGGAGAGAUUCAAGUUUUGAAUCUUAGGGGUGACAACCGCUUGAUAUUUCUCAAAUAGUUGUAUAAACAAUGAUAGGAUAGUUUGGUUCACCAGGAUUCCACUAUUUUAUAGCAGAAAUGCAAGUGAAGGUGGCUAGGAAUUUGAACCAUCUAUACAUGGCUGUAUCACAAGUCAUUGAUGUAUCUCAUUAUGCACUUUCUAGCCUUCCAUAAGUAGAUAAAAUGUCAAAAUUCGAAACAUUCUGUAGUUAUAUGAAAGUUAUGCCAUGACUCAA